AGCUUUUGAUGAGGAUGAUACAUCACCAUGAAUUUUUGAAUUGAUCAAAGUUCUAUUCCCUUGUUGUAAAACAGGAAAAUUAGAACUUGCAGAGCUAUAUGCAGAAUUUUGUCGAUCAAAAUAUGAAGGGUUUGUUCUUCCACCUCGUCCUCUACCCUUGGCGAUUUGCCAAGGAGGUUCCAUACUGCAUUAAUUCAGAAAUUGGAUCAGGAAUUGGAUCAUCAUACCAUGACAGAUAUUCGAUGAGAUCUUCAUAAAGUGUAUCUUUUGUAAUAAGAUCG
rnacentral:lncRNA from 1 species